CCCGUGCUCUCGAAACAGUCGUAUCUCUAACUAAGCAACAUUUCCUUUGCCUUACCAUCACGCCUCUUCCUGUACCAUCACCGCUGUAUUACAAAUAGCGCCUUAACCAAAACUCCUUCCUUACAUUGUUGCGUUGCGUCAUGCACACAACAUUCAAUUCUCUCCUUUGCUUCCAACACCCAUCUGCAAAUAUACAAGCACUUUCACUGCGUGUCUUUAUGUACCCAAAGGAUAUCAACGAAAACCCCCGUCAAACCAGGGCUGCUUAUAUGGAUGAAAAUGUAGACACUGAUUAUAUGGACACAAAUGAUUUAACACAAGCCCAUGCCCAUGCAGGUUUGCAUUCAUGCAUUUUCCACUUACCUUUACGGAUGGGAUAUCGUUCCUCUGUACAAAUUAUUUGUGAUGCAUAAAAAUUGAGGGCAUGUAGAGAGUGGUUGGCCGGGUUGGUAGUGAUUGUAUUUGGUAACUUAUCUAUGAGUUAGAAUUGUCAAGUUAUGAAUAAAGAGUAGAGCGAGCAAGAUAUGGAGUUAGAGUCAAGGGUAUUAUAUGCUUAAGGUGUAUAGAAAAGAGAAAGGCAAGUGGAUAAAGGUUGAGGAGUGUACUUUCUUAUUGCAUAUUUUGUGCUAGUUUGAUUUAGUUAUAUUAUGUGGUGGGUAUUGGGUUGAUCGAUGAUGCUUGCCAGUACGUGUGAUUUGUACUAAUACUUCUCUUUCUAUGUCUUUUGGCAUAGUCUGAUUGCAAGGUCACUGAUGUUUCAUAGGUGAAGACCAAGACAAUCUCCAACAACUUUUACUCUUCCUUCUUUGUGGUGGAAGCUGUGUCAUUGGUUACUGUAUUUUAUACCUUGUAAUCUUAGAAUCUCUUGUACCUGUUUAGACUAGAUCGCCAGGGGAAUUAUUUAUUUUACAAAUUUAACUUUGGAUUGUUGAAACUCUUUAUAAUAUAAAAAUCUCAUGGAUUUCCUUU